ACCACUGCUGUAUCUCGUGUAUCAGAAUCAGUUUAAUUGGCCAAGUAUACUCACAUACACAAGGAAUUUGACUUCGGUAGGUGUUAACUCUCUAUACAUUCAACAAAUAGACAUGUAGUAGUAAACAUUCAGUAGACAAAUAGUAAUAUAGACACAUACUGUACAAUAGAGACAACAAUAUACAUAUAGGCACCUAUCAGCAUAAUAUACAACAAUACAAAUAUCCAAAUAAGACAUCAUAUCAAGACAAGUACACAUGGAGUGGGAUAUAAGGUGCAAAAAGUAAUAAUGUAAAGUAGUAAUAGUGCAAAGUAGUGUGCAAGUUGCAUAUUGGAAUGAUAAGUAUGUAAUGUGUAGAGAAGUGGGUGAGUGGCCAAACUGGGGAUCAAGUGUUCAGAAGAGGGAUGGCAGUGGGAAAGAAGCUGUUCUUAUGUCUGGUUGUUUUUCUGCAUAGGGAUCUGUAGCGCCUGCCAGAGGGGAGGAUGUUAAAGAGUGUGUGUGCAGGAUGUGUUGGGUCUUUGGUGAUGUUCUCUGCCCGCUUCCUGGUCCUACCAGUGUACAAGUCCUGGAGGGAGGGCAGGGGG